rnacentral:rRNA from 1 species
CAGUAGCCGCGGGAAUACGGAGGGUGCAAGCGUUAAUCGGAAUUACUGGGCGUAAAGCGCACGCAGGCGGUCUGACAAGUCAGAUGUGAAAUCCCCGGGCUUAACCUGGGAACUGCAUUUGAAACUGUCAGGCUGGAGUCUUGUAGAGGGGUGUAGAAUUCCAGGUGUAGCGGUGAAAUGCGUAGAGAUCUGGAGGAAUACCGGUGGCGAAGGCGGCCCCCUGGACAAAGACUGACGCUCAGGUGCGAAAGCGUGGGGAGCAAACAGGAUUAGAUACCCCUGUAGUCCCUGUCUCUUAUAC